GCGAAAGCCUGACGGAGCAAUACCGCGUGAGGGAUGACGGCCUGUGGGUUGUAAACCUCUUUUCUCAAGGAAGAAGUUCUGACGGUACUUGAGGAAUAAGCAUCGGCUAACUCUGUGCCAGCAGCCGCGGUAAUACAGAGGAUGCAAGCGUUAUCCGGAAUCACUGGGCAUAAAGCGUCUGUAGGUGGUUUGGUAAGUCUGCUGUUAAAGACUGGGGCUCAACCCCAGAAAAGCAGUGGAAACUGCUAGACUUGAGUGUGGUAGAGGUAGAGGGAAUUCCUAGUGUAGCGGUGAAAUGCGUAGAUAUUAGGAAGAACACCAAUGGCGAAGGCACUCUACUGGGCCAUAACUGACACUGAGAGACGACAGCUAGGGGAGCAAAUGGGAUUAGAUACCCCAGUAGUCCUAGCCGUAAACGAUGGAUACUAGAUGUUGCACGUAUUAACCCGUGCAGUAUCGUAGCUAAGGCGUUAAGUAUCCCGCCUGGAAAGUACGCUCGCAAGAGUG
rnacentral:rRNA from 1 species